rnacentral:rRNA from 1 species
GACAGAGGGUGCAAACGUUGUUCGGAAUUACUGGGCGUAAAGCGCGUGUAGGCGGCCCGGCAAGUCGGAUGUGAAAGCCCUCGGCUCAACCGAGGAAGUGCAUUCGAAACUGCCGGGCUAGAGUCCUGGAGAGGAUAGUGGAAUUCUCGGUGUAGAGGUGAAAUUCGUAGAUAUCGGGAGGAACACCGGUGGCGAAGGCGGCGACCUGGGUCGAUACUGACGCUGAGGUGCGAAAGCGUGGGGAGCAAACAGG